AAUUUCAAGAAACGCGGGGCAUGAAAAUUUGUUUCCCACACUUCGACAUAUUUGGACAACUAAAACUUCUGAGGCCCCAACCGUUCGACUAGCACCCAACCUCCCUUUCCUUUCCUUCUCCGCCUCCGACCAGAACCCUCAUCCUCUUCGUUCUCCGCCUCCGACCAGAACUCGAUCCUCCUCUCCUCCUUCUCUGCCUCGGACCAGCUCCUCUGCUCGAAGACGGUGAACGGAAUCAAAGUUCGAGGGAUUUGUGAGCUUUUGUGUCAUAGGUUUGCGAGAAACAAGCAUUCUUCAUUGAGCUUUCUGGGCAAGUUCGGGCUUGCUGGGUUUGUGACCAUGUAAUUGCAAUUCAUCUUCUGAUCUUUUUGGGCAUUCUCCAUCUCUGAGGAGACUUCAUGCUUGUUCUCGCGCUGGUCAAGACAUUCGAUUAUGUGUUCUCUGCCUAUGAAGGUUUCUGUAGCUUGAAGCAGGUUGAUCUUGGUUUUCAAGGUUUCUGAUCUUGGUUUAUAUGCUUACAACAAGCUUCCUUCUGAGUUAAUGGCGUUAAUGGUGAGUCACUGUGACUAAAUUCUUUGUUUUCUGUUUGGGUCCUGUGAAUUUUCGGUCUUCAAUUUUAGGGUUUUUGGUAAUUGAUCGAAAAUUGAAUUAUAAAUGGGUGGAGAUUCGGGGAUAUCUGCUUAAAUGAGAUUUAGAAUGCAGAUUUGUGAUAUGGUUGCAGAACAUCUGUGGAGAAGAAUUCAAAGAAUUCAUAUGCAGAAGGUGAGGAAAGAUCUCUUGGUGUAUACUUUCAUUUAGUUAUCUUACCUUCUAUCGGUUGGUUGCAGAACUUGGAAGGUAUGGUAGUCAAAUUGGUUAGAGGAAUACAUUUGCACUUUCAUAUAAUUAAAUGACUCUAACUUGUCAAAUUGUCUCCGUAAUUGUUUGCUAUUGUUGAUUGCGGUCUCUUGUCAUACUGGUAUCAAUGUCAUACACAGGCACACAGCAACCUCAGAUUACAGAACUAGAUAUAUCAGUUUGACACUUCAGCUUAGCGUGUUAUUUAUUUUACUAUAUAUCAGCUAGCUGUGUAUUCGAUCUUAUUUGGGAUUGACUAUUAUUGGGUAGGCAUGUGAGGUCAUGAAAUUUGAGUACCAAAAGAAGGUCGCCUCGCUGAGCAAGCUGAAGAAAUGUAGUACUAACUCAGAAGCAUUGGAGAAAUCAAGAGCAGCAGUGAGUCAUCUACAUAUAAGAUACAUAGUUGACAUGCAAUCCAUGGAUCCAACAGUAUCAAAGAUAAACUCUUUUCGUUCAGCUUGUUGCAGGAUAGAAAACUCUAGGAUAUCAUACUGAAUGCAGCCGAUGCAACAGGCUUCAUGGACAGUUUUGUGGAGACUGUUUGUACAGGACGUAAACUCUACUCUUGAAACUUCAUUCCUGCUCUUACAUUUGUCAAAUUCUUUAUGAUGUCGUUAUUGCUUCAAUUGUCGGACAGCAAAAGAAGUUACUAUAUCUUGAUUUGGUGAUAUCUACUUGCAACCAAUAAUGUGAUUGUGCAUAUGGCAAUGACAGCAUUAGAUUUUCUGUUUGCUUUGACUCAUGGAGAUGUCCUUAAUUUGAAGUUUUCUUUACUGCUCAUGGUUAAUGCUCAUAUCAAUAACAGGUAAAUGAAUGUGAGAUACCCUUGUUGCAUGACUUCAAUGGUAGUGCAAAAGAGAAUGGGGCGUCCAUUGAGAAGGAAAGACGCCUAUUAUAUGUUGCAAUGACUCGUGCUCGAACAGAACUUUUCAUCCAUUCCAAUUGGUGAAAACAGAAGAACAAAUGGGAUAUAAGUAUGGCGAGGCUUGCUUUCGUUUAUGUUUCUAGUAUUAUGUACCGUUUAGACUUAAAUUUUUGUUUCAUUUCGACAUGUUAUGCAUAGAAAUACUUGGGAUGUUGUUAUGUACUUUGAGCAUCAAUAUUAAUCAAAAUUUAUUUACUUACGA